UUCCAGCGCAGAGCAAGGAGGAAGCAGGGGGUGUGGGAGUGUCUCCCAUUUCAGAAGAAAUUGACAAGAUGAUGGUGGUGGUGGUGCGAGGAUCCAGCUCUCCCUCCUGAUCCCUUUUGCGGAUUAUGCAUCAGAGCGCUCUUAAAAAUUCUUAUUUUAACCAAAUGGUGGCAGCAAAUAUCUUGCGGGUUUUGAAGGGGAGGUGGGGGAGGAAGCAACCUGGCAGAUCCACGAUUUCUCAGGAUUCCCAGAGCUGCUGCGCAUGAGGAGCUGCAGGUCUUGCUGGCUGGCUGGCUGGCUUGCUGCUGCUGCUGCCCCCGGUCUGAAAGAAGGAGAAAAGGGCUAUCAUUGGAGGGCUUGCAGUGCCAAAAAAUGUUGACCAGCCCGGCAAGGUCAGAGGUCCUGGACCGCGGGAGACCAAGGGUAUCUAACCUGCAUGCCUGUCACUACCCUGAAGGGCGAAAUCUGUGGGGUUUUGUGGAGCGAGACAUGUCUACUUUCCCAAUGUCUACUUUCGAUACUCGAAAUUAGACUUGUCAACGGCUAAAGAUGAAUGCUGCCAUAUAUACAGGCAAAAGGAAAGCAAAAUAAAGUAAUGGCAAGGCAAAGUC